GUGAAUGGGAAUACUAUUAUGAUUAUCUUGAUGUGAUUGUGGAUGAGAGCAAGCUGAAAUACAAUAAAUACUCAAUUGUAAUAAUAUUUUGGAUCAUUCUGGCUGCUUUUGUGGGAUUCCUCUUUCUCAGUUUGAAUCUAAUGUCUUGCAGUGGAAACUUGCCAAGGUAUCACAGAUCCAAAAUCAAAGGAAGUCACAGAACAUCGACG